rnacentral:rRNA from 1 species
UACGUAGGUGGCGAGCGUUGUCCGGAAUUACUGGGUGUAAAGCGCGUGUAGGCGGGAGGCCAAGUCUGUGGUGAAAUCGCUCGGCUUAACUGGGCGGGGUCCAUGGAACUGGUCACCUGGAGGUCGGUAGAGGCAAGUGGAAUUCCCGGUGUAGUGGUGAAAUGCGUAGAGAUCGGGAGGAACACCAGUGGCGAAGGCGGCUUGCUGGGCCGGUACUGACGCUGAUGCGCGAAAGCGGUGGGGAGCAAACGGGG